rnacentral:rRNA from 1 species
CUAGAUAUGGGCGCAGCCUGUCUAGCCUGCCGCGUGAGCGAUGAAGGCCUUAGGGUUGUAAAGCUCUUUCAGGGGGGAAGAUAAUGACUGUACCCCCAGAAGAAGCCCCGGCUAACUCCGUGCCAGCAGCCGCGGUAAUACGGAGGGGGCUAGCGUUGUUCGGAAUUACUGGGCGUAAAGCGCACGUAGGCGGACGGAGAAGUCAGAGGUGAAAUCCCAGGGCUCAACCUUGGAACUGCCUUUGAAACUUUCUGUCUUGAGGUCGAGAGAGGUGAGUGGAAUUCCGAGUGUAGAGGUGAAAUUCGUAGAUAUUCGGGGGGGGGGGGGGUGGCGAAGGCGGCUCACUAGCUCGAUACUGACGCUGAGGUGCGAAA